GACACAAAGUUGCAGAGGAGGGUCAACCAGGACAGCUCCACAGGAUCCAAAGACUUGAGAAAUUCAGGGGAAAUAGCUUUUUUGGUACUGUUCUGGUGUUAGUUCAAGCAGAAUAGAGGAUCUGUAUACCUUUUACCUGGAAGAACAGUUUCACUGUGUUGCAGUGGCAAUUUUAAGAUGCCACUGUGGUUUCUUAGUAUUAGAAUUAUUUAUGGAGUCAGACGACCAGUCAACAAAAUUUUUGAGGAGAGAAAAAAAUUAGGACAAGAAAGCAUAAAUUGCAAAUAAGGUAAGAAAAGUAAAUAAUUACAUUCAUUCAUCCAUCCUCCACUGCUUAUCCAAGUUGGGUCGCGGGGGCAGUAGCUUUAGAAGAGAUGUCCAGACUUCCCUUUACCCAGACACUUCAUCCAGCACUUCUGGGGGGAUCCUGAAGCAUUCCCAGGCAAGCAGAGAAAAGUGUGUCCUGGAUCGUCCCUGAGGUCUCUUUUUAGUAGCACAUGCCCGGAACACCUCACCAGGGAGGCGCCCAUGAGGCAUCCGAUUUAGAUGCCCCAGCCACCUUAUCUGACUCCUCAAUGCGGAGGAUCAGCGGCUCCCACUCUGACCCGCUUCCCUGAUGACCGGCCUUCUUUAAGGGAGAGCCCAGACACAAUGGGGAAGAGACUCAUUCGGCCACUUGUAUGUAGGAUCUGGUUCUUUCAGUCAUGUUCUAAAGCUCAUGACCACAGGUGAGGCUGGGAAUGUAGAUCGACCGGUAAAUUGAGCGCUUCACUUUUCGACUUACAGUACCUCUUUCUUUACCACAACAGACUGAUACAAAGCCGCAUCACUGGAGAUGCUACACCGAUCGGCCUGUCAAUCUCCUGCCACAUUCUUCCCUCAUUCAUGAACAAGACCCCAAGAUACUUGAACUCCUCUACUUGGGGCAGGAUCUUAUCCCAACCUGCAGACGGCAUGCCACGUUUUUCUGAGGACCAUGGUCUCAGAUUUGGAGGGAAUCGCUCCAGUGAGAGAUGGAGAUCAUGGCUUGAUGAAGACGACAAAACCACAUCUGCAAAAAGGAUACAUGCAAUAAUGAGGCCACUAAAGCGGCCAUCCUCUACGCCUCAGCAGCACCUUGAGAUUUUGUCCAUAAAAAUAACAAUCGGCUACAAAAAGCUGAUGCUCUCCAUACAACGACUGAACAGCCCAUGUCAGGGAGUUCAAUACCCCAUACUCCCGAGCCAUUCCCCCAUAGGACUCCCUGAGGGACACAGUCAAACACCUUUUCCAAGGCGACAAAACACAUGUAGACUGGUUAGGCAAACUCCCAUGUACCAUCAAGGACCCUACCCAAAGUGUAGAGCUGGUCCACUGUUCCACCUCUCGGACAAAAACCACACUAGUGCUCCUGAAUCUGAGAUUUGAUUUCCUGACUCAGCCUCUUCUUCAGCAACCCUCAAUAGACCUUACCAGGAAGGCUCAGGACUGUGAUCCCUCUAUAGUUAGAACACACACUGAGGUCCCCUUCUCACAAAGAGGGAGCACCACCGCAGUCUAGAGUCACUCUCCCUAAUUUCCAUGGGACAUUUCAGAGCAGUGUCCACCACAACAGCCCCACAACAUCCAGAGCCUUUACGAACUCUGGAUGAAUCUCAUCCACCCCCGGAGUCUUCCCAACGAGGACCUUAUUAACCACUCGGUGACCUCAACUGGAGACACAGAAAAGCCCACCUCAGAGAACCCAGACUCUUCUUCCUCUUGGAAAGGUGUGUAGGUGGAAUUGAGGAGGCAAUUAACAGUCAGAACCUAUCCCACCCACUCAAAGGUGGAGGGAGACUACUCUCUCAUCCACCAGGGUGAAUUCCAACGUACAGCAGCUGAGCCAAGGGGCAAUAAGAAUACCCACACCUGCUCGGUGCCUUUCAUCGUGAGCAACUUCAGAGUGGAACACUGUCCAACCCCUCAAGAGGAAGGGAAGGGUACCAGAACCAAACCGUGUGUGGAGACAAGUUCAACUAUAUACUGUCGGAACUUCUCAACCUCACACACCAACUCAGGUUCAUUUGGUGGCUCGAGGCAGCUUCUGUACCGAGGGAUCGGAUCACCAAGGUCCCUGCCUUUGGGCACUGGCAAGCUCAUAUGUCACAUAAAACCUAUGGCCCCUGUUGAAGGUGGUAAGCCCAUGGGAAGAUGGACUGAGUACCAUGGGCGCAGGCCUGGCCAAUCAGGCGGUCGCCUUCAAGCCCCACCUCCUGGCCUGGAUCAGCUGGAAAGAGUUGGCCUCACAGUUCUGAGGUCCUGGGUUCAAUCCCGUACCCACCUGUUUGGAGUUUGCAUGUUCUUCUCGAGCCUGCGUGGGUUUUCUCCGGGCACUCCGGUUUCCUCCCACAUCCCAAAAACAUGCAACAUUAAUUGGACACUCUAAAUUGCCCCUCGGUGUGAUUGUGAGUGUGGCUGUUUGUCUCUAUGUGCCCUGUGAUUGGCUGGAAACCAGUGUAGCGUUUACCCCGCUUCCUGCAUGUUAACAGCUGGGAUAGGCUCCAGCACUCCCACGGCCCUCGUGAGGAUAAGCGGCUAAGAAAAUGGAUGGAUGGAUUGGAAACACAAAUCCUUCCACUACAAUAAGAUGACGGCUAAGGAGGGGUAAAUCCUUAUAUAAGAAUGAAACAUUAGUUAUGAGUGUUGAAUGGCGCUGUACCACGACACCUUGUGAGAGAAGGUGAGGACAAGAUCGAACCGGACAAAGACAGAAGAAGCAUGCUGGACAAGAGUCAUGAACCCAGCUGUACAACAAGUGCAGUGGGAUUGGACUAUGUAAAUUACAACUCUAUAGGACAAGAGUGUGAGUGAGGGGAUUCCUAAGAUAUUCUCAUAAUUAACAAUGAUUUGUUGCAAUAAGUGAGUGGCCCCCACACCCAGCGAAAGAGUUCCAGGCAUGUGUACCUGCAGCAAGGGUUUAAAUUGACACAGUUUUGCAUGCAAAAUGCCAUCCCCCAAGCCAAGCCCCGACUUAACACCUUGCAACUUUUUCCUGUGGUGCGGUUAAAGGAGCAAGUCUAUUCUACCACAAUACUUACUUUGGAAAAACAUGAAGCGUGAAUACAAGAAGUUAUGUGUUCACACCCACAAGAGUUCCUGGUGAAAUCUGUUUAUGCGGUUCUAAGGACGCUUAAGAAAUGUGUGGCUAAUGCUGGUGACCAUAUCAAAUUUUGAAUUUUAAAUACAACUUCAUGCAAUAUGCGUUCUUCUCCUGUUCACUUCUUGUAAGAAUUAUUGUUCAGAAAUAAAUUACAAGUACUUAAACACGGGCAGGAACUUUUCAUCACCCUGUAUUUAUCACUUAAACUCCUUUAUGUGUACCAGUAGCUAAUCAUCUCAAACUGGAAAUUAUGGUUUGUAAAGGGGUUGUAGAACUACCAAGAAGAAUUUUUAAAACUUUGCACCGUAAACGUCAAUAUAUUCAAUAGACUGUUCAAUUGUACUUUUUUUUUUCUGAUUUCACUCCAUACAUGAGGAACUGAACGUUCAGUAUGUUUUUCAAGAACACUUUAGUACUGAGGGACUGUAAAUUGGACCUGCAACCAAUGGCUUGUGAGACGGCUAUGUCAAGCUGCCCAACCCAGUUUCUGUUUUGAAACUUGCAUAUAUGACCUAAUGCAGGGGUGCUCAAUGCGACUGGUUGAUUGCGAGGCAGUUUCACUCGAUUGCGACGGCGUGCCGAGAAAAAAAAAAUACAUCAGCCGUAUUUGUUUUUAACUUUAGGUCAUUGCGCAUGUGCAAACAACGACAGUAUAAGAAAACACGCUGUCAGUGAGUCCCCCUCCUAUUUUAAGCUCUCGCUUAAGAAAUCUUAAACAUGAGUAUGCUGCAGUAAAGAAGACGAAAACGUAUCACUUUCAUGCAGAAUGGGAGGCGGACAACUUUUAUCUCAUUUUCGAAGUGCGUUUGCCUCAUCUGCCAGUGGAGUGAAAUGUGAACCAGCUUUUUCGAACUGUUUAUGGAAAAUAUGACACCUACAUUCCGCCAAAAACCAAGCUGAGAAUGAGAAAGCCACCGAAGCAUCGUUUCCGGGUUCGUCACAUCACACAUAAAAAAGGCAUAGCUGACUCGUUGUUACGAUCUUUUAAACAUAAGGCGGAAAUAUUAUCUUCAAUAAAAUCCCUGCAGCUAUAAAGGAGUACAGUUACACGGCGCUGUGAAGCCAUGGCUGAUGUGUGGAAGGACAUCGGAGAUUGUGUUUCUCACUGCAGUUGGACGUAUCCACUGACGUGAGUGACAUAGCCCAGAUAUGGUCUGACUUGCGGCUGCUCAAGUAAGCAUAAUACUGCAGAGUCCACCUGUUGAAAUACUCUGGAGAAAGACAAGGGAAAUAACCAACCUGUUCAUCGAAACGGUGUAACAUUGAGACAAAAAAAAAGUAUUAAAGCUAACAUGUCAAGGAAUCUCUUGUACCUCCCACAAUCAAAUUGAGGAUACGGGGCACCAGGAGCCAGGCCUGGAGGUGGGGCUCGAAGGCGACUGCCUGGUGACUGGGCCUGCACCCAUGGGGCUUGGCCGGGCACAGUCUGUGAGAGGGGUCAUAGGCCAUAGGGGUCGGGUGCGAUG